rnacentral:rRNA from 1 species
UACGUAGGGAGCUAGCGUUGUUCGGAAUUACUGGGCGUAAAGCGCACGUAGGCGGCUUGGCAAGUCGGAUGUGAAAGCCCACGGCUCAACCGUGGAAGCGCAUCCGAAACGGCCUCGCUCGAGUCUCGGAGAGGAAGGUGGAAUGCUUGGUGUAGAGGUGAAAUUCGUAGAUAUCAAGCAGAACACCUGCGGCGAAGGCGGCCUUCUGGAUGAUGACUGACGCUGAGACGCGAAAGCGUGGGGAGCAAACAGG